UACGUAGGGUGCAAGCGUUGUCCGGAAUUAUUGGGCGUAAAGAGCUCGUAGGCGGUCUGUCGCGUCUGCUGUGAAAACUCGGGGCUUAACCCCGGCCUGCAGUGGGUACGGGCAGACUAGAGUGCGGUAGGGAGACUGGAAUUCCUGGUGUAGCGGUGAAAUGCGCAGAUAUCGGGAGGAACACCGGUGGCGAAGGCGGUUCUCUGGGCCUGUACUGACGCUGAGGAGCGAAGCGUGGGAGCGAACAGG
rnacentral:rRNA from 1 species